rnacentral:lncRNA from 1 species
CAGACCUCUGAGGAACAGAGAAACUGUUCCAUUUUCAAAAAGAAAGAAAAAGAAGAGAACGAUUUCAUAUGGUUCCUGAGUUAUGCUGUGGUUUGGAAGUAACUCUCUGCUUAACUACAUUUGCAGGUCACGUCCAGCCAAGAGCCCUUUCCAGGAGUGGCUUGGAUUCACUUUCUGCUCGAGGGAGGUCGCACAGCACAGCAUCCAAGACGUUACCACGGGCUCAAAAUCCAUGCUGCAGAGCCUACAGGAGAGCUUUGCACCACUUGAUAAAGGGCUUCUGCAAAGCCAGCUUGAAAAAAUCCCUCAGUCUGAAGAGUUCUAUGAGCUGGUGGAAGACGUCAAAAAGAAGACGUGCCUCUCUGAUAUCAUCACUUACAGAGGAAUUUUGUUUCAGCUUCCACUUUGCUCACCUGUAGAUGACAGCCCUGAGCACACAGGAUCGCGAAAUGAAGAGGUUGCAGCUCCUCUAUCAUGAACUUACUGAUGUAGUGAGAAAGAAGAGAAGAACAUUUGCUGGAUGAGUUGGAGGAGGAAAGUGAAGAUCUCUGCUAGGGGGACAUGAAGCUCAUUGUGUCUCCACCCAGAGCCUUCCCUUCAAGCGUUCCUUUAAAUUACAUCUACAGUUCAAAUAGUUCAGAGGAGAUCCUCUUUCCCUGGGCUGCUCUGAGUCAGGGGUUGCUGAGCUGUGCUACGGCUGCAGAUCGUAAUGGCUCUGAGCAAAGCAGCUCCUUUUGUGCCGGAUGGCAGCCGGUGUCCUCGAGGAACC